rnacentral:rRNA from 1 species
AGUGGGUACGGGCAGACUAGAGUGCGGUAGGGGAGAUUGGAAUUCCUGGUGUAGCGGUGGAAUGCGCAGAUAUCAGGAGGAACACCGAUGGCGAAGGCAGAUCUCUGGGCCGUAACCGACGCUGAGGAGCGAAAGCAUGGGGAGCGAACAGGAUUAGAUACCCUGGUAGUCCAUGCCGUAAACGUUGGGAACUAGAUGUAGGGUCCAUUCCACGGAUUCUGUGUCGCAGCUAACGCAUUAAGUUCCCCGCCUGGGGAGUACGGCCGCAAGGCUAGAACUCAAAGGAAUUGACGGGGGCCCGCACAAGCGGCGGAGCAUGCGGAUUAAUUCGAUGCAACGCGAAGAACCUUACCAAGGCUUGACAUAUACCGGAAAAGUUCAGAAAUGUUCUCCCCGCAAGGUCGGUAUACAGGUGGUGCAUGGUUGUCGUCAGCUCGUGUCGUGAGAUGUUGGGUUAAGUCCCGCAACGAGCGCAACCCUCGUUCUUUGUUGCCAGCACGUAAUGGUGGGAACUCAAAGGAGACUGCCGGGGUCAACUCGGAGGAAGGUGGGGAUGACGUCAAAUCAUCAUGCCCCUUAUGUCUUGGGCUUCACGCAUGCUACAAUGGCCGGUACAAAGGGCUGCAAUACCGCAAGGUGGAGCGAAUCCCAAAAAGCCGGUCUCAGUUCGGAUUGAGGUCUGCAACUCGACCUCAUGAAGUCGGAGUCGCUAGUAAUCGCAGAUCAGCAACGCUGCGGUGAAUACGUUCCCGGGCCUUGUACACACCGCCCGUCAAGUCAUGAAAGUCGGUAACACCCGAAGCCAGUGGCCCAACCGCAAGGAGGGAGCUGUCGAAGGUGGGAUCGGUAAUUAGGACUAAGUCGUAACAAGGUACCAAUCCCGCGG